UCAGAAAUCUCCAGGUUUCUUCCCUCUGCAUUACUGCUCAUAUAGGAAUGUGUGUAACUGCAGAACCGACCCAUGAAGUCGGCGCUGCGUCCAUUUGGACGGAUCAACUCGCUUCCUGAAUGAAGGGGGAUUGCUGUGCAUAUUUUCUCACCAGCUGACUGAACAGGAAAUGGAAAAUCCCAAAAACCUGCAGGUUUCACUCCAUCGUCGUUUCUCACCACAGUUUCUAGUGAAGUCAGAAAACCCAAAGUUUGAUUUCUGGGAGUUUUAAAGCGGGAAUCCGUUUUGUUUUGCAGGUUCUGCGUUGAGUCAUUGGCUCAUCUGUCGGUGCCGCUCGGCGGCGGCCCGGUCCGGUCUGGUUUCUGCUGACUGGCAGCGAACCGUUCCUCAGCUCUGCAGACUUUCCUGUCUAACAUUUGGUGCAGGAUGGAAAACGUGUCUGAAGCUGCCAGGAAAAGGAACCGAAGCAAACAGAUGAACAAGAACAGAACUCUGGGUGAAAUCAUUCGAGCUGUUAGGAAAUGAAAACGAGAGUUUCUCCGUCAUGGGAAGCAAAAUAAAUCUGCUUCAGACGUUAAAAAUAAACACGAUUUAUUCUGGUUUUUACUGGAAAA